CGAAAGCCUGACGGAGCAAUACCGCGUGAGGGAGGAAGGCUCUUGGGUCGUAAACCUCUUUUCUCAGGGAAGAACACAAUGACGGUACCUGAGGAAUAAGCAUCGGCUAACUCCGUGCCAGCAGCCGCGGUAAUACGGAGGAUGCAAGCGUUAUCCGGAAUGAUUGGGCGUAAAGCGUCCGCAGGUGGCUGUGUAAGUCUGCUGUUAAAGAGUCUAGCUCAACUAGAUACAAGCAGUGGAAACUACACGGCUAGAGUACGUUCGGGGCAGAGGGAAUUCCUGGUGUAGCGGUGAAAUGCGUAGAGAUCAGGAAGAACACCAGUGGCGAAGGCGCUCUGCUAGGCCGUAACUGACACUGAGGGACGAAAGCUAGGGGAGCG
rnacentral:rRNA from 1 species